GGACGAACGCUGGCGGCGUGCUUAACACAUGCAAGUCGAACGAUGAAGCCCUUCGGGGUGGAUUAGUGGCGAACGGGUGAGUAACACGUGGGCAAUCUGCCCUUCACUCUGGGACAAGCCCUGGAAACGGGGUCUAAUACCGGAUACGACCUGGGAAGGCAUCUUCUCGGGUGGAAAGCUCCGGCGGUGAAGGAUGAGCCCGCGGCCUAUCAGCUUGUUGGUGAGGUAAUGGCUCACCAAGGCGACGACGGGUAGCCGGCCUGAGAGGGCGACCGGCCACACUGGGACUGAGACACGGCCCAGACUCCUACGGGAGGCAGCAGUGGGGAAUAUUGCACAAUGGGCGAAAGCCUGAUGCAGCGACGCCGCGUGAGGGAUGACGGCCUUCGGGUUGUAAACCUCUUUCAGCAGGGAAGAAGCGAAAGUGACGGUACCUGCAGAAGAAGCGCCGGCUAACUACGUGCCAGCAGCCGCGGUAAUACGUAGGGCGCAAGCGUUGUCCGGAAUUAUUGGGCGUAAAGAGCUCGUAGGCGGCUUGUCACGUCGGGUGUGAAAGCCCGGGGCUUAACCCCGGGUCUGCAUCCGAUACGGGCAGGCUAGAGUGUGGUAGGGGAGAUCGGAAUUCCUGGUGUAGCGGUGAAAUGCGCAGAUAUCAGGAGGAACACCGGUGGCGAAGGCGGAUCUCUGGGCCAUUACUGACGCUGAGGAGCGAAAGCGUGGGGAGCGAACA
rnacentral:rRNA from 1 species